rnacentral:rRNA from 1 species
GACGAACGCUGGCGGCGUGCUUAACACAUGCAAGUCGAACGGAAAGGCCCUGCUUUUGUGGGGUGCUCGAGUGGCGAACGGGUGAGUAACACGUGAGUAACCUGCCCUUGACUUUGGGAUAACUUCAGGAAACCGGGGCUAAUACCGGAUAGGAGCUCCUGCUGCAUGGUGGGGGUUGGAAAGUUUCGGCGGUUGGGGAUGGACUCGCGGCUUAUCCGCUUGUUGGUGGGGUUGUGGCUUACCAAGGCUUUGACGGGUAGCCGGCCUGAGAGGGUGGCCGGCCACAUUGGGACUGAGAUACGGCCCAGACUCCUACGGGAGGCAGCGGUGGGGAAUAUUGCACAAUGGGCGGAAGCCUGAUGCAGCAACGCCGCGUGCGGGAUGACGGCCUUCGGGUUGUAAACCGCUUUCGCCUGUGACGAAGCGUGAGUGACGGUAAUGGGUAAAGAAGCACCGGCUAACUACGUG